AACUUAGUUACGGCGAGUGAAGCGGUAAAAGCUCAAAUUUGAAAUCUGGUACUUUCAGUGCCCGAGUUGUAAUUUGUAGAAUUUGUCUUUGAUUAGGUCCUUGUCUAUGUUCCUUGGAACAGGACGUCAUAGAGGGUGAGAAUCCCGUUUGGCGAGGAUACCUUUUCUCUGUAAGACUUUUUCGAAGAGUCGAGUUGUUUGGGAAUGCAGCUCAAAGUGGGUGGUAAAUUCCAUCUAAAGCUAAAUAUUGGCGAGAGACCGAUAGCGAACAAGUACAGUGAUGGAAAGAUGAAAAGAACUUUGAAAAGAGAGUGAAAAAGUACGUGAAAUUGUUGAAAGGGAAGGGCAUUUGAUCAGACAUGGUGUUUUUUGCAUGCACUCGCCUCUCGUGGGCUUGGGCCUCUCAAAAAUUUCACUGGGCCAACAUCAAUUCUGGCAGCAGGAUAAAUCAUUAAGAAUGUAGCUACUUCGGUAUGGUUAUACCUUUUUGGAAUACGGUUACCCGGGAUUGAGGACGGCCCUUCGGCAAGGAGGUUGGCUUAUGGGUUAAUUGCCGCCCGUCU
rnacentral:rRNA from 1 species